CUGGGAGCUCGGCGUGGGUGGCAGCGGCAUCUGUGUCCGGCGGCGAGGGCGGACAGAUAGAUAUGAAAUAAGUGAAGAAGGUAAAAUCGGCAUCAAGUUCUUAAAUGGACAGAUUUUACCAGUGAAGGGCUUAUGGUCUUCACAGCAACAAAGAAAACUCCUUUUACUGAAAGGUAAG